AUCAGCCUCCUGAGAGCUGGGACUACAGGCGCCUGCCACCACAUCCGGUUAAUUUUUGUAUUUUUAGUAGAGAUGGGGUUUUGCCAUGUUGGCCAGGCUGGUCUUGAACUCCUGAGCUCAGGUGAUCUGCCCACCUCGGCCUCCCAAAGUUCUGGGAUUACAGGCGUGAGCCAUGGUGCCCAGCCUGGCUCCUGUUUUUUGAGACAGGGUUUCACCCUGUUUCCCAGGUUGGAGUAUAGUGGUGCCGUCAUGACUUACUGCAGCCUUGAACUCUUUGGCUCAAGCAGUCCUCCCCACUCAGCCUCUCUAGUAGCUGGGGCUCCAGGCAUGAAUCACCGUGCCAGACUAAGUUUUUUUAAAAUUUUUUGUAGAGAGAAUCUCUCUCUGUUGCACAGGCUAUUCUUGAACUCCUAGGCUCAAGUGAUCCUCCUGCUUCAGCCUCCGAAAGUGCUGGGAUUACAGUUGUGAGUCACUGUGCCUGGCUCUUUUAAUCUUGAAAACUCUGGGAAGAGCUCACUUCUGUUUAGGAGGCUGCCUUGGGAACUGCAUCUCCUGGGCUGGUGCUCUGUGCUGCUUGGAGUCUGCAGACCCUAUCUGGGUCGCUUGGCCUCCCGUGCACAAGCUGCCAGAAUGGAGGCCCCAUUCUCAAUGUGGGGGCUGCCCAAAGAGCAGGGAGCUUCCCACAGGACAGAGGCUGGGCACCUGCUUGGCCUGGUUCUUCCUUUUCCCAGGGCUCCAACACCCACCCCCUCAGGUCCUCCCAAACCCUGCAGGUCCCUGGCCUGGUCCGUCCACACCUACACUCAGGAAUCUCUACACAUCUCUGAGUUGCUGCAUCUGUCUUCAGGCACAGCCCACCAGCCCCCCUGGGUACCCAAAGACACCGCAAAUAUCAGCCAUUCCAGACAACGUCCUCCUCCCGUGUCCCUAUCUCAUGGAGUAAUGCCUCUAAUUCAGCCACACCAAGACCCCACGCUCCACAUCCCCUAGAACUCUCAUCUCCUGUGGCCCAACAUGGCCCUUCCUUUCAGCAGUGGGAUGUGGGAAGGAUCAAGGUCACCCUUGUCCAAAUCCCAUGCAGACAACGGUGUUGGAGUCUUGGGCCCAAAGACCAGCUCCUAGAACCUGCAGGGAAGCAACGGCACGUUCCAUCUCUCCCCAUGCCACUGAGGAAUCAUUGGUGGCAGGAUUCUCAGCAGGCAUGGCCGUGGGUGCACAGAACAGAGAAAGGAUGGCCUGGACCACACACAUCACUGUGUGCAGAUGCUUUCCUAGACACUGCAGCCAAGGACACAGAGGCUCAGAGAGAAUAACCUCCAUCUCCUGGGUCCCAGCGAUUCUCCUGCCUCAGCCUCUUCCUAUUUCACAAGUAGGGAAACUGAAGCCCAGGUAGGCAAGCCUGACUUGCUGGAGUCACACAGGAAGUUGGCAGCUCUGCUCCAUCCCUGGGAUCUGGAGCCCCUGCUCUGGGGAAGGAGAGGUGGGGCGCUGCCUUCCCAGAGUCCCCUCAAGCUGGCAGGGACGGCUGUACCCCCAGGGUCAGAGGAGAACUAAAAGGAGCGGAAGCUGGCCUGGGUCCAGGGAGAGACCUCGUGUUUGCCCAAAAGGGAGCUGGAGAGGGGCAGCUGGGCCCAUAUGCAGGGAGGAGCUGCAGGGAGCUGGUGGCGGGGCAGCAAAGAGAAGUGGAUUUGGUGGGUAGAGGGGCCCCUCCUUGGUUCUAGUCCUCCCCGCAGCCCCUUGCAAACAGGCGGGGCUCUCCUGUCCUUCUUGUCUCCUGCAGCAAGCCCUACAUGAAGAGGCCUCUUUGGUGAGUGGCAGCUCAACCUCUGCUAAAUGCCUCCAGUGAUGGGGAGUUCACUACCUUCCAAAGUUUUUAAAAGAUGUUAACCACUGCUAUUCAAGAACAAUUCUAGAAUUUUUUUUUUUUUGAAAGACAAGGUCUCAUUCUGUCUCGCAGGCCAGAGUGCAGUGGUGUGAUCAUAGCUCACUGCAGCUUUGACUUCCUGGGCUCAAGCAAUCCUCCCUCCUCAGCCUCCUGAGUACCUGAGACUACAGAUGUGCACCACCACACUGGCUCAUUGUUUUCAUUUUUUGUAGAGACAGGAUCUCACUAUGUUGCCCAGGCUGGUCUCCUGGCUUCAAGCAAUCCUCCUGCCUUGGCCUCCCAAAGUGCUGGGAUUACAGGCGUGAGCCACUGCAUCUGGCCUUUUUUUUUUGGAGAUAGAGUCUCGCUCUGUCGCCCAGGGUGGAGUGCAGUGGCGUGAUCUCGGCUCAUUGCAACCUCCGCCUUCCGGGUUCACACCAUUCUCCUGCCUCAGCCUCCCGAGUAGCUGGGAUUACAGGCAUCUGCCAACCAUGCCUGGCUAAUUUUUGUAUUUUUUGGUGGAGACAGGGUCUCACCAUGUUGGCUAGGCUGGUUUCGAACUCCCGACCUCAGGUGAUCUACCCGCCUCAGCCUCCCAAAGUCCUGGGAUUACAGGCUGAGCCACCGCGACCGGCCCUGCUGUUGCUUCUGAGGUUUGAAAACCGCUGCCUCAAUGCUCCUGAUUCAGCUCUUCUUACCCAAAGGUUCCCCCACCUCAUCUACUCUGUUCCUGCACAGUCGCCCUUUUCUCUGAUGCCCCGGGCAGGUUUCUCUCUGCCAGCUCCACGCUUCUGGAGUCCCCCAUCCGUCUUGGGGCCCAGCUGCCCACUGUCUGGGUUCAGACCUUCUCAACACUCCCUGGCUUCUCUGCCCUAGUUUUGCCUUCUCCAAUCCACUCUUGGUGGGUGGAAGUACGGUUACCAUGGUAACUUGAAGACAACGCAAAUCUGAUUGUAUCAUUACAAUGACUGGGAAAACCUCCAGUGCCACAAAAUAAAGCUCAAGUCACUAGCUUUGCAGUCCAGGCCCUUUACCAUUCCGGCAGCAUUUCUGGGGGCUAUUCUCCUUCCCCCCACUGCACAACCCCGCCUGGCCACCCCAGGCUCAGGCUGCAGAACAGCGUAGACCAGGGAGUGGCUUUGGGGUCAUGCUAACUACCUGGUUUUUGUCUCUUUCAGGCUGUUUGCUCAGUUGCAAAAUGGGAAGGACAACAGCACCCGCCUCACAGGCUAAGAGGCUGUGUGUGAAAAGCCCGCAGCACAGGAUCUGGCACGCGUGGACGUGCGGGAUGGGAGGAGGGGAUUUCCCAGCUCCUCAUCUCUGCAGGGACUGGCCUUGGCCUAGGGAACACUAGCUGUCCAGGGAGGGGGAGCUUUCCCUGAGCCCCCCGAUGUGUGGCAGGCAGAGGAGAGCAAGCUACUUCUGGGAGGGGAGUUGUGGGGAAGGGCAAGUUAGUCUUUACUGAGGGUGGCAGUGAGCUGGCACUUUGGUCUCACCUCGGCUGCAGAAACCCACCCUGCUCCCGUCUUAUUUCCUGGGGAUUUCAGCUGUGUGCAGGCACAGAUGCAUCUCCCAAGUGCCUCAUGCUUGCCUUGAUCUCCUCUCCUUCCUCUGGCCAGUCCUGAACCUCUUGGUGAUCCACGGCGGCACCUCUGUGUCCUACAUCCUUCUCUGGCCAUCUCCUUCCCUCCUUCCAGCCCUCCCUCUAGGACCCUGACCCCAACCAUCCUUCAUCCCCAUGGGGACAUUCAGUCCACUGACUCAUCACCCUCCCCUGUCCCUCUGUGAGAGAAGGAGCAGGCAGAGAGGAUCUUGCAAGAGCCUUCAGCAACUCUCUUCCACCCAUCCUGUUGCUUGCUGCUUUUUUUUUUUUUUUUUCCAAAAAAAUAGAGAUGGGGUCUUGCUAUGUGGCUGGUCUCAAACUCCUGGGCUCAAGUGAUCCUCCUGCCUCGGCCUCCCAAAGUGCUGGAUUACAGGCGUGAGCCACCACACCCGGCUCCGUUCCCUUUCUAAGCAGGGUGCUCCUUUUCUUGCCAUUUCCCCCAUCCUCCUUCCUCUCCCACAGCUCACUUCCCUCUCUACUGAAUCUGCUGAAGAUCAUGCAGCUGCUGUUCCUGCCUCUAAAACCCUCUCUUGGCUGGGUGUGGUGGGUGACAUAUGUAAUCCCAGCACUUUGGGAGGCUGAGGCAGGAGAAUCACUUGAACCCGGGAGGCGGAGGUUGCAGUGAGCCGAGAUUGCGCCACUGCACUCCAGCCUAGGUGAUAGAGCAAGACUCUGUCCCCUCCCUCCACCAAAAAAAUAAAGCCCUCUCUGCAUCCAUUCCACUCUCCACUCUUGCUCAUUCUCUCCUGCCCUCUAAAAGGUGAUCUGUCUUUGGCAGAUUCAAUCACUUGCCUUUCUCAUUCUCUCCUGAGCCCACUAUUCCACUCUGGUCCCCACCACUUCCCCCAAAACUGCUUUGAACCAUCGCACUGCAACCUGUUGCUUAGCCCCUCCAUCUAGUCUCAGGCGUUAGGACUGACUGCCCAGCAGAGGCUGGUGCAACCAAUCACCUCCUUUAGUAAGUUUCUCCCUGGGCUUCACCUCUUCACCUGUGGGCUUUCCACCUGUCUCUCUCUUUUUUUUUUAAGACAGUCUCCUCUGUUGCCAGGCUGGAAUGCCGUGGCGCAAUCUCAGCUCACUGCAACCUCUACCUCCUGGGUUCAAGCGAUUCUCCUGCCUCAGGCUCCCAAGUAGCUGGGAUUACAGGUGCCCGCCACCACACCGGGCUAAUUUUUGUAUUUUUAGUAGAGUCGGGGUUUCACCAUGUUGCCCAGGCUGGUCUCGAACUCCUGACCUUACGUGAUCCACCCGCCUCAGCCUCCCAAAGUGCUGGGAUUACAGGCGUGAGCCACCGCACCUGGCAGUCUCCCUAAUUUAAUUCAGUGCCACUGCGGGCAGGUGGGGUGUGGCCUGGUUGGGCAGUAUAGAGCUACCAGCUACCAAUGGUGUUCAGCCCUCAGGGUCGAGCGUGGGUUGUCUCAGCCCCUUGCAGGCAGGGCUGGAGUUCCUUCUGGUGCGAGUUGGGGGACCCAGCUCCCCCAUCCCUCUGCAACCCCAGGCCCCCCACCAGGUCCCCUCUGGUUCAGCCUGGUGCCUUCCAGCACCCCUGGCCCCCAGAAAUCCCUGGUCCACAGCUCCCUUGACCUGAGGCCUGAAAUUGACCCACUGCCCCCUGAGGCUUGGUCCAAGUCCAAGUAUGCCUUCCUCUCCAGCCAGAUGCCUGCCUGCCACUCAGCAUGUCAGAGCAGGCAGGGCCUCUAGAUUUUAAUGGGGAAACUGAGGCACUGAGGGCAGAUGUGAUGUCCCCAGUUGGGAAAACAUUAAAGACAUUCUGGGCUUCUC
rnacentral:lncRNA from 1 species